AGAGUUUGAUCAUGGCUCAGAUUGAACGCUGGCGGAAUGCUUUACACAUGCAAGUCGAACGGCAGCAUAGGUGCUUGCACCUGAUGGCGAGUGGCGAACGGGUGAGUAAUACAUCGGAACGUGCCCAGUCGUGGGGGAUAACGUAGCGAAAGUUACGCUAAUACCGCAUACGAUCUACGGAUGAAAGCGGGGGACCGUAAGGCCUCGCGCGAUUGGAGCGGCCGAUGUUAGAUUAGGUAGUUGGUGGGGUAAAGGCUCACCAAGCCGACGAUCUAUAGCUGGUCUGAGAGGAUGAUCAGCCACACUGGGACUGAGACACGACCCAGACUCCUACGGGAGGCAGCAGUGGGGAAUUUUGGACAAUGGGCGCAAGCCUGAUCCAGCCAUUCCGCGUGCAGGACGAAGGCCUUCGGGUUGUAAACUGCUUUUGUACAGAACGAAAAGCCUUGGGUUAAUACCCUGGGGUCAUGACGGUACUGUAAGAAUAAGCACCGGCUAACUACAUACGAGCAGCCGCGGUAAU
rnacentral:rRNA from 1 species